CCUACGGGGGGCAGCAGUAGGGAAUCUUUCACAAUGGGCGAAAGCCUGAUGGAGCAACGCCGCGUGCAGGAUGAAGGCCUUCGGGUUGUAAACUGCUUUUAUAAGCGAGAAAUAUGAUGGUAACUUAUGAAUAAGGAUCGGCUAACUACGUGCCAGCAGCCGCGGUCAUACGUAGGAUCCGAGCAUUAUCCGGAGGGACUGGGUGUAAAGAGUUGCGUAGGUGGCAUAAUAAGUAGCUAGUGAAAUCUGGUGGCUCAACCAUUCAGACUAUUAGCUAAACUGUUAAGCUCGAGACCGUUAGGGGUAACUGGAAUUUCUAGUGUAGGAGUGAAAUCCGUAGAUAUUAGAAGGAACACCAAUAGCGUAGGCAGGUUGCUGGGACGAUUCUGACACUAAGGCACGAAAGCGUAGGGAGCAAACGGGAUUAGAUACCCCAGUAGUC
rnacentral:rRNA from 1 species